GAGGGAAAUCAAACACUCGGGAGGAAGCAGAGGGUUUGCCGUUUGAAGAAUGAAGAAUGAUCAUAGUUAACUAAGCAAGUGGGGUUGCUUUUCUCUUUAUGCUUGAUUGUUGUAAAUCCUUAGACGCCAUGAGUCUGAGCUCAAGAUCGUGAUGAGAUCUUGAGGUGUGAGUUUACAAUUGUUGAGAACUUUGUGAGAGAGAGAGAUACAAUCUAUUGUACUUGCAUUUGAGUGUUACACUUCACGGUAUCGAAAAUCUAUCAGAAUAAUACGGAAAAUUCACGUUUGUAAUAAAUAAAUAUAUGAGCUGCUCAUAUUUCUGAAACCUGAACUUUCGUAGAAUAAAAGCAGUUAUCCACAGAGACUCCACAAGGUUGGUAUGGCCGUUGAUGCGAAUGGAAACUGGUGAUUCAGUGAGUUUGAAGUGGAUGUUACUUCUUGUGACAU
rnacentral:lncRNA from 1 species